rnacentral:lncRNA from 1 species
GUCUACUAAGCUGCCAAGUCCAUGCCAUUGGUUUAGUAGCCCAAGCUGCCGACAGGGCAGGCAUUCCAAGGGAGACCCAGCUGGCAAUGUUCUCAAGUCUCUUGUUUGCCUGAAUGUGUUUAUGAAAAUUUGUAUACCUGGACACUUAUAAUUUGGGAACUUUCAUAUGUAUGUCUAGACCCCUGCAGUGGAUCCCUAUCUCCUACUUGGUGCUACAAUGCAUUGUGAGAAGAAAGACUUAAAGACAAUGUUAAAGAGAGAGAGACAAGGAGCUGGACUGACUAGUGCUUGAGUAAGUAAAGGACCUGAACUGCCAGAAUCAUUGAUAUUUAUUGGUGACACAAUCAUUGUUAGGUUGGGGUGAGGGGACUACUUGAAGGAGCUACCUGUGGUUGCUAGAGAUACAUUGCUGAUGCAGGCAAGGCUUAUAAA